UACGUAGGGGGCAAGCGUUGUCCGGAAUCAUUGGGCGUAAAGCGCGUGUAGGCGGCUCGAUAAGUCUGCUGUGAAAGUUCAGGGCUCAACCCUGAAAUGCCGGUGGAAACUGUCGAGCUAGAGUCCGGAAGAGGCGAGUGGAAUUCCUGGUGUAGCGGUGAAAUGCGCAGAUAUCAGGAGGAACACCAAUGGCGAAGGCAGCUCGCUGGGACGGCACUGACGCUGAGGAGCGAAAGCGUGGGGAGCGAACAGG
rnacentral:rRNA from 1 species